rfam:TPA: Bos taurus chromosome 12, whole genome shotgun sequence.
UCCUUGGUGGUCUAGUGGUUAAGACGUUGCCUUCCAAUGCAAGUGGUGUGGGUUCAAUCCCUGUUCAGGGAG